rnacentral:rRNA from 1 species
CACGUAGGGUGCGAGCGUUGUCCGGAAUUAUUGGGCGUAAAGAGCUCGUAGGCGGUGUGUCGCGUCGGCCGUGAAAACCUGCAGCUUAACUGUGGGCGUGCGGUCGAUACGGGCAUCACUGGAGUUCGGCAGGGGAGACUGGAAUUCCUGGUGUAGCGGUGAAAUGUGUAGAGAUCGGGAGGAACACCGGUGGCGAAGGCGGGUCUCUGGGCCGAUACUGACGCUGAGGAGCGAAAGCGUGGGGAGCAAACAGG